AUACGGAGGGUGCGAGCGUUAAUCGGAAUUACUGGGCGUAAAGCGUGCGUAGGCGGUUGAUUAAGUCAGAUGUGAAAGCCCCGGGCUCAACCUGGGAACUGCAUUUGAAACUGGUCAACUGGAGUAUGAUAGAGGGGGGUAGAAUUUCUGGUGUAGCGGUGAAAUGCGUAGAUAUCAGAAGGAAUACCGAUGGCGAAGGCAGCCCCCUGGACCAAUACUGACGCUGAGGUACGAAAGCGUGGGGAGCAAACAGGAUUAGAAACCCGAGUAGUCC
rnacentral:rRNA from 1 species